rnacentral:rRNA from 1 species
UAGAGUUUGAUCCUGGCUCAGGAUGAAACCUAGCUACAGGCUUAACACAUGCAAGUCGAGGGGCAGCGUGGAGUAGCAAUACUCUGACGGCGACCGGCGAAAGGGUGAGUAACGCGUGAGCAACAUACCCGUCUGAGGGGGAUAGUCGAUGGAAACGUCGUGUAAUACCCCGUAACAACAGAGGCCGCAUGACCUUUGUUUAAAAGAUUCAUCGCAGACGGAUUGGCUCGCGUACCAUUAGCUAGUUGGCGGGGUAACGGCCCACCAAGGCGACGAUGGUUAGGGGUUCUGAGAGGAAGGUCCCCCACAUUGGAACUGAGACACGGUCCAGACUCCUACGGGAGGCAGCAGUGAGGAAUAUUGGUCAAUGGCCGAGAGGCUGAACCAGCCAUGCCGCGUGCGGGAUGACGGCCCUAUGGGUUGUAAACCGCUUUUGUUGGGGAGCAUAAGGUCCACGUGUGGACUGAUGAGAGUACCCAGCGAAUAAGCAUCGGCUAACUCCGUGCCAGCAGCCGCGGUA